GACGAACGCUGGCGGCGUGCUUAACACAUGCAAGUCGAACGGAAAGGCCCAGCUUGCUGGGUACUCGAGUGGCGAACGGGUGAGUAACACGUGAGUAACCUGCCCCCUUCUUUGGGAUAAGCACCUGAAAGGGUGUCUAAUACUGAUUAUUCUGCUGGAAUCGCAUGGGUUUGGUUGGAAAGGUUUUUCUGGUGGGGGAUGGGCUCGAGGAUUAUCAGCUUGUUGGUGGGGUAAUGGCUUACCAAGGCUUUGACGGGUAACCGGCCUGAGAGGGUGACCGGUCACAUUGGGACUGAGAUACGGCCCAGACUCCUACGGGAGGCAGCAGUGGGGAAUAUUGCACAAUGGACGAAAGUCUGAUGCAGCGACGCCGCGUGAGGGAUGAAGGCCUUCGGGUUGUAAACCUUUUUCGCUUUUGACCAAGGCAGCAUUUUGGUGUUGUUGAGGGUAUGAGGUAAAGAAGCUCCGGCUAACUACGUGCCAGCCGCCGCGGUAAAAC
rnacentral:rRNA from 1 species